rnacentral:rRNA from 1 species
GGUCAGAACGAACGCUGGCGGCAGGCCUAACACAUGCAAGUCGAGCGCGCCCUUCGGGGUGAGCGGCGGACGGGUUAGUAACGCGUGGGAACGUACCCUUUGGUAGGGAAUAGCCACUGGAAACGGUGAGUAAUACCCUAUGAGCCCUUCGGGGGAAAGAUUUAUCGCCAAAGGAUCGGCCCGCGUUAGAUUAGGUAGUUGGUGGGGUAAUGGCCUACCAAGCCUACGAUCUAUAGCUGGUUUUAGAGGAUGAUCAGCAACACUGGGACUGAGACACGGCCCAGACUCCUACGGGAGGCAGCAGUGGGGAAUCUUGGACAAUGGGGGCAACCCUUGAUCCAGCCAUGCCGCGUGAGUGAAGAAAGCCUUAGGGUACGUAAAGCUCUUUCGCCUGUGAAGAUAAUGACGGUAGCAGGUAAAGAAACCCCGGCUAACUCCGUGCCAGCCGCCGC